GCUGCCCAGGGAGAGAUGCUCUACCUGGCUACUCGAAUCGAACAAGAAAAUGUUAUCAACCACACGGACGAAGAAGGAUUUACCCCUCUGAUGUGGACUGCAGCACACGGGCAAAUAGCUGUGGUAGAGUUUCUACUUCAGAAUGGUGCUGAUCCCCAGCUUUUAGGAAAAGGUCGGGAAAGUGCCCUGUCGUUGGCCUGUAGUAAGGGCUACACAGACAUCAUCAAAAUGCUGCUGGAUUGUGGAGUUGAUGUAAAUGAGUAUGAUUGGAAUGGAGGGACACCUUUGCUUUACGCUGUACAUGGAAAUCAUGUGAAAUGUGUAAAAAUGCUCUUAGAAAAUGGAGCGGACCCAACAAUUGAAACUGACUCUGGAUAUAAUUCUAUGGAUCUAGCUGUAGCCCUGGGCUAUAGAAGUGUUCAACAGGUUAUUGAGUCUCAUUUAUUGAAACUGCUUCAGAACAUCAAGGAGUAGACAGUCGUCAGAAAGUGCCAUCUGCCCUUCGGUUUACUUUUGGCCCUUAUAAAUGAUAGUUUUGUUUACUUAUAAAUUUUUACCUCAGUUGCAAUAUUUACUGAUUUUUAGUAAGUUUUAAUAAGUAUUCCUCUGAGUCACUGGUUUAUAAAAAAGUUAAUGUUGAUGCUUUUUUAAUAAAUGUGUUUUACUGCAUAUUUAAAAUUAUAAGUGAGUGUUUUGUGGCAUGUAAAUUUUUAUGGUACAGAUGGUUAUCUGUCUUUGUAUCAAGUGCUAUAAUUUAACAUUUUUGGAAAUUAUUCCUCCCUAUUCAUCUUCACUCUUGUAUUAACUCAUUGACUUUAUAUAGGGUUUGCUAUAAAUCCAUAGAAAAAAAAUUUGUUAUUAUUGAAUUUCAAAAUGCACAGUGUGAUUGUUUACAAAAUGAUGUUAUAAAUGAAUAAAGUCCUUCUUUGCUGUU